CGGGGGGAGCAAGCGUUGUUCGGAUUUACUGGGCGUAAAGGGCGCGUAGGCGGCCAGCGCAAGUCAGUUGUGAAAUCUCCGGGCUUAACUCGGAACGGUCAACUGAUACUGCGCGGCUAGAGUGCAGAAGGGGCAACUGGAAUUCUCGGUGUAGCGGUGAAAUGCGUAGAUAUCGAGAGGAACACCUGCGGCGAAGGCGGGUUGCUGGGCUGACACUGACGCUGAUGCGCGAAAGCCAGGGGAGCGAACGGGAUUAGAUACCCCGGUAGUCCUGGCCUUAAACGAUGGAUGCUUGGUGUCUGGAGUUUUAUAGUCUCCGGGUGCCGUAGCUAACGCGUUAAGCAUCCCGCCUGGGGAGUACGGUCGCAAGACUG
rnacentral:rRNA from 1 species